rnacentral:tRNA from 1 species
GGAGGAUUCGCCUAGUGGCCUAUGGCGCUCGCCUGGCCCGCGGGGAGGGUUAAUAGCCCCCUCGCGGGUUCAAAUCCCGCAUCCUCCG